CCUACGGGCGGCAGCAGUCGAGAAUCAUUCACAAUGGGGGAAACCCUGAUGGUGCGACGCCGCGUGGGGGAAUGAAGGUCUUCGGAUUGUAAACCCCUGUCAUGUGGGAGCAAAUUAAAAAGAUAGUACCACAAGAGGAAGAGACGGCUAACUCGGUGCCAGCAGCCGCGGUAAUACAGAGGUCUCAAGCGUUGUUCGGAAUCACUGGGCGUAAAGGGUGCGUAGGCUGUUUCGUAAGUCGUGUGUGAAAGGCGCGGGCUCAACCCGCGGACGGCACAUGAUACUGCGAGACUAGAGUAAUGGAGGGGGAACCGGAAUUCUCGGUGUAGCAGUGAAAUGCGUAGAUAUCGAGAGGAACACUCGUGGCGAAGGCGGGUUCCUGGACAUUAACUGACGCUGAGGCACGAAGGCCAGGGGAGCGAAAGGGAUUAGAUACCCCGGUAGUC
rnacentral:rRNA from 1 species